GAUGAACGCUGGCGGCGUGCCUAAUACAUGCAAGUCGAGCGAACAGACGAGGAGCUUACUCCUCUGACGUUAGCGGCGGACGGGUGAGUAACACGUGGAUAACCUACCUAUAAGACUGGGAUAACUUCGGGAAACCGGAGCUAAUACCGGAUAACAUGUUGAACCGCAUGGUUCAACAGUGAAAGACGGUCUUGCUGUCACUUAUAGAUGGAUCCGCGUCGCAUUAGCUAGUUGGUAAGGUAACGGCUUACCAAGGCAACGAUGCGUAGCCGACCUGAGAGGGUGAUCGGCCACACUGGAACUGAGACACGGUCCAGACUCCUACGGGAGGCAGCAGUAGGGAAUCUUCCGCAAUGGGCGAAAGCCUGACAGAGCAACGCCGCGUGAGUGAAGAAGGUCUUCGGAUCGUAAAACUCUGUUAUUAGGGAAGAACAAAUGUGUAAGUAACUAUGCACGUCUUGACGGUACCUAAUCAGAAAGCCACGGCUAACUACGUG
rnacentral:rRNA from 1 species